UCGAGGAUAUUUAGCAAUGCCCGAAAGGGUGACUAUGCGACGCCGCGUGUGCGAUGAAGGUUUUCGGAUUGUAAAGCACUGUCGACCGGGAGGAAUCUCCGGAGGCCGAAUAGAUCUUCGGGGUGACAGUACCGGUAGAGGAAGCCACGGCUAACUCCGUGCCAGCAGCCGCGGUAAUACGGAGGUGGCAGGCGUUACUCGGAUUGAUUGGGUGUAAAGGGUGUGUAGGUGGUAUAUUAAGUCGAUUGUGAAAUCCCUUGGCUUAACCAAGGAACUGCAUUCGAUACUGAUUUACUUGAGCGUCAGAGAGGAAGAUGGAAUUCACGGUGUAACAGUGAAAUGUGUAGAUAUCGUGAGGAACACCAGUGGCGAAGGCGAUCUUCUGGCUGACUGCUGACACUGAAACACGAGAGCAAGGGGAGCAAACAGG
rnacentral:rRNA from 1 species